UGGGGGAUAUUGCACAAUGGGCGAAAGCCUGAUGCAGCAACGCCGCGUGAGGGAAGACGGUUUUCGGAUUGUAAACCUCUGUCUUUGGUGACGAAACAAAUGACGGUAGCCAAGGAGGAAGCCACGGCUAACUACGUGCCAGCAGCCGCGGUAAUACGUAGGUGGCGAGCGUUGUCCGGAAUUACUGGGUGUAAAGGGAGCGAGGGCGGGGAGACAAGUAAGCUGUGAAAACUAUCGCCUAACCUGAUAGAGUGCAUUUGAAACUGUGUUUCUGGAGUGGAGCAGAGGGAGGCGGAAUUCCGAGUGUGGCGGUGAAAUGCGUAGAUAUUCGGAGGAACACCAGUGGCGAAGGCGGCCUGCUGGGCUUUAACUGACGCUGAGGCUCGAAAGUGUGGGGAGCAAACA
rnacentral:rRNA from 1 species